rnacentral:lncRNA from 1 species
AUGUCAGUAGUUUAGUCAUAAGUGUUGUUUUCCUCUGGUGAUAGAUAAUUGAAAACAAUUAGAAACUGGCUUUUCUCAAAUUUUACAAUUUUCUCUAUUUUUUGCAUUUUUUUACCUUAUUUAAAAAAAAAAAAAAAAGAUACCAAAAGUUUUAUUUCCAUUAUGUUUUACACCAUCAUAGUACUAGACUUCCAUAUAGGUAGUUUAGUAAUAAGUGGUGUUUUCCUCUGGUGAUGAAUAAUUGAAAACGGUUGGAAACUGGCUUUUCUCAAUUUUCUCAAUUUUCCUUAUUUUAGCAUUUUUUUACCUUAUUUUUUGAAAAAAAUCAAAAAGAUACCAAAAAUUUUAUUUUUAUUAUUUUUUACACCAACAUAGUACUAGACUUCCAUAUAGGUAGUUUAGUCAUAAGUGUUGUUUUUCUCCGAUGAUGGAUCAAUGAAAACGGUUAGAAACUGGCUUUUUCCCCAUACAUUUCAAUGAAAAUUAGCAGUUUGAGGGCUUAUAUUGAAUUUCAUUAAAAAAAAUGUCAAAUUCACAAAAAAUGAAAAAAGAAAUAUAUAUUCCCAGUCAGUAUGUUAUACUGAAAGAGUAAAAUAUAUGUUUGACCAAAUUAUUUUUUUUUAGUUGAACAGUCCUGCCUGGUGCUCUCUG